AUUUACACGAGGGCUACACGUUCUAGCGUGUAGCCCUUUAAACCGUUUGAAUUUUUUUUUUUUUUUUCAAUUUUUCUUCUCUUUAUAACUAAUUCUAUCAUGUAAGCUAUCAUGUAACCCCACUGCAGCAUCUUUACACCAUGUGGUCCCCCAUCAUAAAGUAGGCUAUCAUGUAAGCUAUCAUGUAACCCCAUUGCGGAUGCUCUAAU
rnacentral:lncRNA from 1 species